rnacentral:pre_miRNA from 1 species
CCAGUCGUAGCCGAUGUUCCACAGCAGGGUGGCCCAGGACGGACCCCUGCGGAACACCGCGCUCGACGGG